rnacentral:rRNA from 1 species
GCCCUAUGGGUUGUAAACUGCUUUUGCAGAGGAAGAAUAAAGAAUACGUGUAUUCUGAUGACGGUACUCUGCGAAUAAGCAUCGGCUAACUCCGUGCCAGCAGCCGCGGUAAUACGGAGGAUGCAAGCGUUAUCCGGAAUCAUUGGGUUUAAAGGGUCCGUAGGCGGAUUAGUAAGUCAGUGGUGAAAGUCUACAGCUUAACUGUAGAAUUGCCAUUGAUACUGCCAAUCUUGAAUAACUAUGAAGUAAUUAGAAUGUGUAGUGUAGCGGUGAAAUGCAUAGAUAUUACACAGAAUACCGAUUGCGAAGGCAGAUUACUAGUAGUUUAUUGACGCUGAUGGACGAAAGCGUGGGGAGCGAACAGGAUUAGAUACCCUGGUAGUCCACGCCGUAAACGAUGGAUACUAGCUGUUCGUCACACAUUGGUGUGAUGAGUGGCUAAGCGAAAGUGAUAAGUAUCCCACCUGGGGAGUACGUUCGCAAGAAUGAAACUCAAAGGAAUUGACGGGGGCCCGCACAAGCGGUGGAGCAUGUGGUUUAAUUCGAUGGUACGCGAGGGACCUUACCAAGGCUUAAAUGCAGUUUGGCAGGUUUAGAAAUAAACCCUUCUUCGGACAAAUUGCAAGGUGCUGCAUGGUUGUCGUCAGCUCGUGCCGUGAGGUGUCAGGUUAAGUCCUAUAACGAGCGCAACCCCUGUUGUUAGUUACCAGCAUGUAAAGAUGGGAACUCUAACAAGACUGCCGGUGCAAACCGUGAGGAAGGUGGGGAUGACGUCAAAUCAUCACGGCCCUUACGUCUUGGGCUACACACGUGCUACAAUGGCAGGUACAAUGAGGAGCCACUUCGUGAGAAGGAGCAAAUCUAUAAAACCUGUCUCAGUUCGGAUCGUAGUCUGCAACUCGACUACGUGAAGCCGGAAUCGCUAGUAAUCGGAUAUCAGCCAUGAUCCGGUGAAUACGUUCCCGGGCCUUGACACACCGCC